AUAUAAAGCACAAUAUCAUAUGUGUUACAGGAAAUGCCAUGACUUAAAAAAAAUUACAAGUGGAGCAGACUUGCAAAAGAGGGAUGAGUGUCAAGAGCUCCGCUUUGGCGGUGUGGAGUUUCGUUAGACCGUUAGAUGUGUAAAUAAAUGUGCCAAGCUGAGAAGCCACCGGACAUUCAGAAGGGGGCAGUCUCAGUUGUAGAAAUGUAUUUGGAAGUCCCAAGCCUCCAGGAUGUAAGUCCACGAGAUCAUGAGAUCACACAGGGAAGGAGAAUGUGGACUGAAAUAAGAAGAACCCAGACCACAGGGUGAUAUUUGGAGGUCAGAGAGAUAAGGAAAAGCCAGGAAUGGGAGCAAGCUGUGGCAGUAAGAUCAGAACAGAGUCAGCAAAGGGGCCAGAAAUCAGAUGAGAAAGGAGCUCCGAGAAGGAGGAUACGGUGCCGUCUCAAAUCUUUCUGAAAUGUCAAAGCCAG